rnacentral:rRNA from 1 species
AUUGAACGCUGGCGGCAGGCCUAACACAUGCAAGUCGAACGAGUGGCGGACGGGUGAGUAAUUUCUGGGACACUGCACGAUAGAGGGGGAUAACUACUGGAAACGGUAGCUAAUACCGCCUACCAUCAGCUGUGCCCAGAUGGGCUUAGCUUGUUGGUGGGGUAAAGGCUCACCAAGGCGACGAUCCCUAGCUGGUCUGAGAGGAUGACCAUCCACACUGGGACUGAGACCCGGCCCAGACUCCUACGGGAGGCAGCAGUUGGGAAUAUUGCACAAUGGGCGCAAGCCUGAUGCAGCCAUGCGGCGUGUAGGAAGAAGGCCUUAGGGUUGUAAAGUACUUUCGGCGGGGAGGCGUUACCCGCAGAAGAAGCACCGGCGAACUCCGUGCCAGCCGCCGCGGUAAGUC